AGGAUGCUGGCUCUGAGGAUGUGUGAGGUGACUCUAUUUGGGCAGCAAGUCCCAGAAGCUGCAGUGGCUGUCACCGUGCGCGCGGGAGCUGGAAGGGGCGCGAGUCCCCCGGCGGAGGCGGCGAUGGGCGAGCGGGGACGGACGGCGCGGGCACCGGGAGCUCCUCGGGGAUGCGGGGCUGGAAAGUGGCUGCGAAGGGACCUGGGAUUUCUCUGCCCCCCCCUCUCCAUGCUCUGUCUUCGCUCUCCUUCCCCUCGCUGCCACCUGGGUGGCAUCGCGCGGCUCCAUCCAUCACUCUCCGGCGUCUCGAUCGCUCCUUGUGGGCUCACCCUCCGUGUGUCCAGGAGUCACUCGUCAACAACAAACAGUUAAAAGGAAGAAAAUAGGCUGGAAAUAUCAAUGCACUUUGGUAACAAUAAACCCUGCUUUUAAUUUAUGCUAAUAUGUAGGGUUGUGGUGACAGUAAGAACAAAAUUACAGAGUGGCUUUCUAGCUGGUAAUUAUCCCUCCAUUUUCGUUGCUCGGGAAGAUGGACACACAAUUAUGCUCUCUUGCUGUAUAUUAAUACGGAUUCUUGACAUCUUCAGCAGACCUGGAGCUGUCAUCGGGCUUUUUGUCUACUUUAAUUGAAAAUUAAUGGUUACUGUGUUACCACGGAAACCGUGGCAAUGGACGCCAAUAGCGCUCACAUAUCAAACAGGCACUGGUGGCAUUGUCUGUCCGUGUUGACCUUGAAAGUUAAAAGAAAAACUUAAAUAAAAAAAAAAAAGAGAGGGGUAGGAAAGAAGGGGAAAAAAAAAACCUUGAAAACCGAGGGGUGGAUACGGAAUCAAAGGAAGGGAAGAAGGGGGGAAAAAAGAGGGAUGCGAAGGAAAAACUUGGUGUCUCUUGUAUCUGGAAGGGGAGGAAAAAAAAAAGCCUCAAAGCAAGGAGUCGGAGAGCGCUGUGUGAGCGCAGCGGCCUCGUGAGCAGCUCUGGGGUCACCCCAGCUCGGUGUCCUCGAGCCAGGAGGAGCGCAGCCACCAGCGUGCAAGCAAGGUGUGAGCGUGGGGAUGGCCGUGCCAAGGAGCCCCUGGCAGGGGGAAGCUGGUGGGGGGGAGAAAAGAGACAGGGAAGGCAAGGAGGAGAAAUAGGUCGGAGAGAUGAGAGUCCGGGUUUGCUUGGAGUGGGAAUGCUGAACGGAGCAGAGGGUGGGCGCAGAGCGCUGCCUCUGUCUGGGUCAGGAGCAGGGUUGGAAAUGUGAUUUUGGGUACGUUCUGCUUUCCCUGGUGCCCACCUUUUGCUGUCUCCUCUCUCGCCUGGAUCACCAAGGGCUGCUCUGCGCCUUUGUUAGCGAAUAACGGAGGGGCAGGCUUCUCUUCGGGAGCUUGGGACUUCUGGGUCCCCUUCACACCUAAGUGAGCUGCCUAAUUGGCUUGGCUUUUCCUCCUCCUCUCUUGCUCUCCGUGAGCUUCCCAUGACCUGUGGGCCUGCUUUUAGCAGAAGCUGGAGCACGGGGAAAGGCAGCCACCGUGCUUCCAGUGCCCAGAUGAGAAACGGUGUGGAGGAUUGAAGCGGGAGCAGUUUCAUCAGGAAGUGGAACAGGGAAAUUUGGGAAACCCUGGGACAAGGCAGACAACCCUUGGGGCCCUGCAGCUGCUCGGUGCAUCCAUGGGUGGGAUGAUUUUGGGGCCAGCCAGGGCAGAGAUGCCCGCCUGGUACCUUCAUGCCCUCUGCAUCCUUGCUCCCUUGCCAACACCUCCGGAUGCGGUGCCAACGUGAACCCCAGCCCCUUUGGGAAGGUGAUCCAGGGCCUUUUAAAGCUGAGUACCACGGGAGCCCGUCCUCCUCCAGAGCAAACAAGAAGACAAACACAGCGGAGGCGUGCCUGAAAGCCGGAGUCUUUUUUCAUUUUCCCUGCAUCCCUGAUCCCAACCUUAAUCCCCGCACUGAAUCCUGUCAGCCCGGCUGUUCUCGCACUGACAUUGCUGCAGGCAUCUUCUCCGCUGCCUUCCCUCAGAUCUGCCUCCUCCUGGGACGUCUAAAGAGGACUCCGAGAUUUCUGUGUUACUGGAUGAUUCACUCCGUGCCCUCCAGCAAAGCGCUGGGGCUCCCCGGGGGAAGGAAGCAGGCGGAGGGGGGACGGGGGCUGCGGUGCCGAUGCCGUGCCGGCGAAUGCUCCGGCUGCGCACCGAGGCUCCGGGCAUCUCAGCGGGGUUGGGCAAAAACAAGAGCAAGGGGUGGGCAGGGACAGGGUGCUGCUGCUGGUGCCUGGGGUGGUGGAAGACAUACCCAUCACCCCAGACACCUUCAUCAUUUUGCUGUUAUGCCUUUAUGGUCAUGCUCCUUUCUGCUCCUGAUUUUGCCCAGCUCGCCAUCGAUCAGAGGCUAUGAACAUUUAGGGACAGGUGCA